rnacentral:rRNA from 1 species
AACGUAGGUUCCGAGCGUUCUCCGGAUUUACUGGGCGUAAAGCGCGUUCAGGCGUUUUGGCAAGUCGGGCAUGAAAUCUCUCGGCUCAACCGGGAGAGGUUGUCCGAUACUGCUGGACUUGAGGGCAGUAGAGGGUGGUGGAAUUCCGGGUGUAGUGGUGAAAUGCGUAGAUAUCCGGAGGAACACCAGUGGCGAAAGCGGCCACCUGGACUGCACCUGACGCUGACACGCGAAAGCUAGGGGAGCGAGCGGG